UUCCCUUCCCUUCCCCAGGGCAGCCAGCCCUAAGCCCAGCCAGGCCAGGCCUGAAGGCUUCACACUGUCUAGGGAAAGGCUCCAAGGCUGGGCUCUCACCUGCACGGAAUGAAGAAGAGCUGCUGCACUUGCCAGCAGCUCCGGGGUCUCGCGAUCAGCGCUUUGAAUGCAGCUUUUGUACAAACUCUGCCUCUCUGGGCCAAGCAGCAUUCCUGGGCAUCGGCAGCGCUGCUGCCGGCCAACAUCCUCCGGGCACAGCUGCAGCAAUGAGAUUGCAACAAGUCCUGGCUGAAGGAGUCUCCAGUCAUGCUGCAGCCCUUCACCUGUGGCGGAAUCAUCUUGUGCCACCAUGGGGGCAGCAAAGGGGGUGACGGGCUCUUGCAGAUGAGGGUCUCCUCCAUGUGCUGCAGCUCACUGCGCUGAUACAGCUGCUGGUGCCCUCCCCCACAGCUGUACCAGGAGCCUGUCUGGAAAAAUAACACCGCCAGUGCCAGUGCCAGCCACUAAUCCCUGCCAUGGCCCUGCCCACAGGGCGUCCUGCCUACCAAACUGCUCCAGUCAGGUGAUGUCAGACACCAUCAAAAUACAUUCAAACGAUGCAUUUUCCACAUUCUGUCAGAAUCAUGGCCAUACAGUCCACAUGCUGGAGGCAGACUGCUGUUGGCAGAAUGGGGCAAGCCCCAGCAGCUGCUCUUCCCAUGGCUGGAUGGCCAUGGCAGCAGAGGCAAGUCUCUCACCGUGCCCACUGCUGUGAGACCCGGUGCUUUGGACAUGUUCCCACUGAACUCAGGCUCCUGCUACAGCAGCAUCAUGCCUUCACACAUUUGAUAGCAAAGAGUUGGAAUAGCACCCAGGACUCGCCCCAAGAACUACCAAACAAAAAAAAAGGGAGUUAGAAUAGUUCACUCCUUUCUAAUACAAGCAUACCUGGGUUUAAGCAGGGACACUGGGCUAAUCAUACUGGGGAUUGGCUGGUAAGCCUUGUCUCUAGCAAUUCCCACCAGUCUGCAAGCAUUUUUCAGUAGAAAGGGGUACAUAAGGUUUUACAGCACAUCCAUGAGCAAGUCUGAGCUGAAACUCAAAGUACAAGACAAAUACUCCCAAAUUGGCCACCCAUGGGGAAAGGAAGAAGAAAAGCAGAUGAAACAAGUGCCAUUGCAGCUGAAUUGCCUGCAUUUAUCCCAUGCUCAAACCUUUCUGUACAAAAGCACCUCAAUUCAAACACACAGCUUAACAGCAAGGAAUUAAAGUGUUUUGAGAGCA